GAUGAACGCUGGCGGCGUGCCUAAUACAUGCAAGUUGAGCGCUCAGGGUUGGUGCUUGUUCCUCCUGCAUGAGCAGCGAACGGGUGAGUAACGCGUGGGUAAUCUGCCUUUGAGCGGGGGAUAACAUUUGGAAACGAAUGCUAAUACCGCAUAAAAACUUUAAACACAAGUUUUAAGUUUGAAAGAUGCAUUUGCCUCACUCAAAGAUGAUCCCGCGUUGUAUUAGCUAGUUGGUGAGGUAAAGGCUCACCAAGGCGAUGAUACAUAGCCGACCUGAGAGGGUGAACGGCCAAAAUGGGACUGAGACACGGCCCAAACUCCUACGGGAGGCAGCAGUAGGGAAUCUUCGGGAAAGGAGGGAAGGCUUGCCGGGCAACGGCGCGGGAGUGAAGAAGGGUUUCGGAUCGGAAAACUCUGUUGGUAGAGAAGAACGAAGGUGAGAGUGGAAAGCGCAUCAAGUGACGGUAACUACCCAGAAAGGGACGGCUAACUACGUG
rnacentral:rRNA from 1 species